UCAGAGUGAACGCUGGCGGCGUGCCUAAUACAUGCAAGUCGAACGAUGAAGCUUCUAGCUUGCUAGAAGUGGAUUAGUGGCGCACGGGUGAGUAAUGCAUAGAUAACAUACCCUUUAGUCUAGGAUAGCCACUGGAAACGGUGAUUAAUACUGGAUACUCCCUACGGGGGAAAGUUUUUCGCUAAAGGAUUGGUCUAUGUCCUAUCAGCUUGUUGGUGAGGUAAUGGCUCACCAAGGCUAUGACGGGUAUCCGGCCUGAGAGGGUGAUCGGACACACUGGAACUGAGACACGGUCCAGACUCCUACGGGAGGCAGCAGUAGGGAAUAUUGCUCAAUGGGGGAAACCCUGAAGCAGCAACGCCGCGUGGAGGAUGAAGGUUUUCGGAUUGUAAACUCCUUUUGUGAGAGAAGAUAAUGACGGUAUCUCACGAAUAAGCACCGGCUAACUCCGUGCCAGCAGCCGCGGUAAUACGGAGGGUGCAAGCGUUACUCGGAAUCACUGGGCGUAAAGAGUGCGCAGGCGGAUUAAUAAGUCAGAUGUGAAAUCCUAUGGCUUAACCAUAGAACUGCAUUUGAAACUAUUAGUCUAGAGUGUGGGAGAGGUAGGUGGAAUUCUUGGUGUAGGGGUAAAAUCCGUAGAUAUCAAGAGGAAUACUCAUUGCGAAGGCGACCUACUGGAACAUUACUGACGCUCAUGCACGAAAGCGUGGGGAGCAAACAGGAUUAGAUACCCUGGUAGUCCACGCCCUAAACGAUGAAUGCUAGUUGUUGUGGAGCUUGUCUCUGCAGUAAUGCAGCUAACGCAUUAAGCAUUCCGCCUGGGGAGUACGGUCGCAAGAUUAAAACUCAAAGGAAUAGACGGGGACCCGCACAAGCGGUGGAGCAUGUGGUUUAAUUCGAAGAUACGCGAAGAACCUUACCUAGGCUUGACAUUGAUAGAAUCUGCUAGAGAUAGCGGAGUGCCCUUCGGGGAGCUUGAAAACAGGUGCUGCACGGCUGUCGUCAGCUCGUGUCGUGAGAUGUUGGGUUAAGUCCCGCAACGAGCGCAACCCUCGUCCUUAGUUGCUAGCAGUUCGGCUGAGCACUCUAAGGAGACUGCCUUCGUAAGGAGGAGGAAGGUGAGGACGACGUCAAGUCAUCAUGGCCCUUACGCCUAGGGCUACACACGUGCUACAAUGGGACAUACAAAAAGAUGCAAUAUCGCGAGAUGGAGCAAAUCUCUAAAAUGUCUCUCAGUUCGGAUUGUAGUCUGCAACUCGACUACAUAAAGCUGGAAUCGCUAGUAAUCGUGAAUCAGCAAUGUCACGGUGAAUACGUUCCCGGGUCUUGUACUCACCGCCCGUCACACCAUGGGAGUUGUAUUCGCCUUAAGUCGGAAUGCUAAACUGGCUACCGCCCACGGCGGAUGCAGCGACUGGGGUGAAGUCGUAACAAGGUAACCGUAGGUGAACCUGC
rnacentral:rRNA from 1 species